rnacentral:lncRNA from 1 species
UGUAUGUCGAUGACAUACUGCUCAUAGGAAACGACAUCCCGACUCUGCAGGAGGUCAAGUCCUGGCUCGGGAAGUGUUUCGCUAUGAAGGACCUCGGAGAGGCUUACUAUAUUUUGGGAAUAAGGAUUGUGAGAGAAAGAAGUAAGAGACUAAUAGGACUUAGUCAGAAUACUUACUUAGAUAAGGUACUAAAACAUUUUAGUAUGGAAAACUCGAAGAAGGGAGAACUACCGAUACAAAGUAAUACCAAGUUGAGUAAGACUCAAAGCCCGGGUACCGAAGCUGAGAUAGUUGAGAUGAGCCGAGUACCUUACACUUCCGAAGUUGGCUAGAUCAUGUAUGCUAUGACUUGUACUCGACCUAAUGNGCACACAUAUAAGGCACGAUUGGUGGCGAAGGGCUUUACUCAAACUCCCGGAGUUGACUAUGAUGAGACCUUCUCACCAGUUGCGAAGAUAAAAUCUAUUAGGGUAAUGCUAUCUAUUGCCGCAUUUCAUGAUUAUGAAAUAUGGCAGAUGGAUGUCAAAACCGCUUUACUUAACGGGAAGUUGGCUGAAGAUGUUUGCAUGGCUCAGCCAGAGGGUUUUGUCGAUCCGAAGCAUCCAAAUAGAGUGUGUAAGCUUGAGAAGUCCAUUUAUGGACUUAAGCAAGCAUCUCGCAGAUGGAAUCUUUGCUUUGAUGAGAAAGUCAAAGAGUUUGGAUUUGUACGAAGCGAAGAUGAAUCAUGUGUAUAUGUCAAAGCCAGUAGGAGCAUAGUUAGCUUUCUCGUUUUGUAUGUCGAUGACAUACUACUCAUAGGAAACGACAUCCCGACUCUGCAGGAAGUUAAGUCCUGGCUCGGGAAGUGUUUCGCUAUUAAGGACCUCGGAGAGGCUUCCUAUAUUUUUGGAAUAAGGAUAGUGAGAGAAAGAAGUAAGAGACUAAUAGGACUUAGUCAAAAUACUUACUUAGAUAAGGUACUAAAAAGUUUUAGUAUGGAGAACUCGAAAUUGAGUAAACUACAAAUACAAAGUAAUUCCAAAUUGAGUAAGACUCAAAGUCCGAGUACCGAAGCCGAGAUAGCUGAGAUGAUCUGAGUACCUUACGCUUCCGUAGUUGGCUCAAUCAUGUAUGCUAUGACUUGUACUCACCCUGAUGUGGCCUUUGCUUUGAGCUUGGUCAGUAGAUAUCAAGGGAAUCCUGGUAGAGCGCAUUGGAUUGCGGUCAAGAACAUCCUUAAGUACCUUCGGAGGACCAAGGAAUGGUUUCUAGUCCUCGGAUGGAGUGAUGACUUGAAUGUGUGAGGGUACAGUGACGCCAGUUUCCAGACCGACAAGGACAACUACCGUUCGCAGUCAGGAUGGGUCUUUACCCUUAAUGGAGGAGCAGUNCAAGCUAUAGGGUUGUAUAUGCACAUAGGGAAAGCCAUAGUGAAACCCUAAUUUCGGGGUUUUGCACCCUAUUUAAGCAUCUUAAUCCCCACCUUAUGGCCUCAUUUCCAGCCUCCAAGUCCCAAACCCUAAUACACGAAACCCUAGAGCAUUUUGUGAGUGUGUGAGCCAUUCUUGAGGAAUCUUCUGUGUUCUUGAAGCUAGAAGAAAAAGAAGCAGCAAGAAGGUUUAAGGAGAAGAUAGUAGUUCCAGAGACUUCCUUCCAUCCCCAUUAUUUUCUAGUAAUCAAGUCUUUAUCUUGGCUACUAGUUCAUUAUAUCUCCUUAGUUCCAUUUUAUGAGGGUUUUGUUUCAAGCAACUUGACCUUCGGGACAUGGAUGUCCCAAGUGGCUUAUCUUUCAGAUCUGGGAUCUAGAAGGGGUUUCAUGGCACAAAGUUGCAAACUUUUAUGACCAUUGAAGCCCCAUGCAAGCUUAAAGAGAUUAUUAUGGCCUUUUUGUAAUACUUGGCUCCCGAUAUGUAUUUUUUUAAAUUAAGUUUUGCAUUUUUACUUUCAGACACAAAGAGUUGGAGGCCCAACUCGUCGAGUAGAUGCGAGUUUUGGGACGCAGGUGGAAAAGUCAACUCGCUGAGUCGGAAGCCCCAACUCGACGAGUAGAACUCUCUGGAUGAAACCCUAAAUUUGAGGGUUUGCACCCUAUUUAAACACCUUAAGUGACCUCUACUCCAGCCUCCAUCACCCUCAGACCCCAUUCUCGAAACCCUAAUUAGUUGGGUGUGUUCUUGAGCUAUUUUGGUGCCAUUUUUGUGAUUUGAAGCUUGGAGAAGAAGGAGAGGCUUGGAUGUUCAAGAAGAAGGUAGUAGAUCCAGAGUCUUGGUUGCAUUUCCAGCUUGUUUGAGGUAAAAAUCUUCAACCUUGUAUUCCUAUUUGUUAGAUCUUCCUGAGGGCUUGAAUCUUGUCAAUUUUUGGGCAUUUCUAAGUCACUUCGGGUUUAGAGUGUAAUGUAGAGUGAUGACUUCAGAUCUUGAACCUUGAUGAGUUCUCAUGGCAAAAGGUGCCAACUUUAUGGCCAUGGGAGCCCAUGCACUUUGUAGACUUCAUUUUUGGGUCUUUUGAGCUUGAAGAUGUUGGAUUAGUGUCUAAGGCUAUAACUAUAUUUGGUAAGUACUUGACCCGAUUGUGCAUGGUCCUUUUGGGUUGCCUUCACCAUAGCAACUUGAUAGGGUGAUUUAGAGAGAAGAGAUAUUAUUAUUAAUGUAUUAUAAGAAUAAUAUGUUAGAGAAAUAAUAAUAUUAUUUGAUUAAUAUAAGUCAUAAAUUAAUUAGGAAUUAAUUUGGUGACUUAAAGAGAUUAAUUGAAUAAAGGGGUAUAAACUGUCAAAUGUGUGAAAGUUGUAUUUUGAGCUGAUAACCCUUACGGAUAUGGGUUGGACGAUUUUAGGGAUGUGGAUCACCUAGAAAUCGUCCAAGGCCUUAUCUAGAAGGAGAUUUGGAUUGCUUUGAGGCUAAGUUAUCCAAUUAGGGUUUUAGGGUGAAACCCUAGGAGCUCACAGUAUAAAUAGACCCAUAGGGUUGAGGAAAUUGGCCAGCCUUGCUAUUGGAGUAACCCUAGAGCCAAUUUCCCUCUUCCUCAUCUCUCUCAAAUCAUCUUCUUGCUAGUUGGUGUUUGUAAGCCAUUAGAGGAGUGACAUUUGUGACUCUAAGCUCCAAGAAGAAGAAGGUUUUCAAGCAAGUAACUCAAGGUAUUAUUCUAGAUCUGUUUUCAUAUGUUUUGAUUUUUAGUUUACAUUAGAUCUAGCCAUGAGAGUCUUAGAUAUGUUGCAUGCUCAAUUAGUGAAACCUAGAU